GUGGGGAAUAUUGGACAAUGGGCGCAAGCCUGAUCCAGCCAUGCCGCGUGAGUGAUGAAGGCCUUAGGGUUGUAAAGCUCUUUCAGUGGGGACGAUAAUGACGGUACCCACAGAAGAAGCCCCGGCUAACUUCGUGCCAGCAGCCGCGGUAAUACGAAGGGGGCUAGCGUUGUUCGGAUUUACUGGGCGUAAAGCGCACGUAGGCGGAUCGUUAAGUCGGGGGUGAAAUCCUGGAGCUCAACUCCAGAACUGCCUUCGAUACUGGCGAUCUUGAGGCCGGAAGAGGUGAGUGGAACUCCUAGUGUAGAGGUGGAAUUCGUAGAUAUUAGGAAGAACACCAGUGGCGAAGGCGGCUCACUGGUCCGGUACUGACGCUGAGGUGCGAAAGCGUGGGGAGCAAACAGGAUUAGAAACCCUUGUAGUCC
rnacentral:rRNA from 1 species